rnacentral:rRNA from 1 species
AUUGAACGCUGGCGGAAUGCUUUACACAUGCAAGUCGAACGGCAGCACGGGGCAACCUGGUGGCGAGUGGCGAACGGGUGAGUAAUACAUCGGAACGUGCCCAAUCGUGGGGGAUAACGUAGCGAAAGUUACGCUAAUACCGCAUACGAUCUACGGAUGAAAGCGGGGGUCGCAAGACCUCGCGCGAGUGGAGCGGCCGAUGUCAGAUUAGGUAGUUGGUGGGGUAAAGGCUCACCAAGCCAACGAUCUGUAGCUGGUCUGAGAGGACGACCAGCCACACUGGAACUGAGACACGGUCCAGACUCCUACGGGAGGCAGCAGUGGGGAAUUUUGGACAAUGGCGCAAGCCUGAUCCAGCCAUUCCGCGUGCAGGAUGAAGGCCUC